GCGCGAAAAUACGUUGUAUUAAUAAACAAUAAUAAUUUCUAUCGUCGUCAAAAAUUAUAGUGUUACAUGGAGAUUAAAAUCAUAAUAUUGUCGCCUUUUGCGGUGUCAAGUGUCGCAAGCAGAAACAUUUUUACUUCAACCCUUGUAAGUCAGAUAAUUAAAUUGAGUCGACUGAGAAUAGUGGAUAACAGCGAGGCAAACUAUGAUGGAGGGUAGACCAUCAUAUUGCAUAUACAUGUACAAUAAGUGCGGGGGUGGAAUACAUCGGUGAUAGAAUUUUAAUUGCUAUAAGAGGCAAAAAGAAAAAGGGUAUAUUGAAGGGUUGGAUUGAAACAGCAACAGGUCCUUAAAGUUCUCAAAUUUGAUAGCAACAAUCUGGUACUCAUAGACGAUAACGGCACAUCUCUAGAUACAAGAAUAUAGGUGCCUAUAUUCCAUACAUACUCCUAACGAAAAUGAAAAAAGACUGACAGCAAAGGAGCAGAUUAUAUUAAAUUAAUAACGAUUGCAACCAGAUUAGUAUGGUGUAUCUAUCUUGCUAACUAUUGUAAUAUAUAUUAAAUAUUUUUAUGAAAUGUUAAUAUUAUACUUAUUCAGUAUUUUCCACAAAACUUAUAAUAUGGUGUAUUACUCAUGC